GAGUUUGAUUCAUGGCUCAGAAUGAACGCUGGGCGGCGUGCUUAACACAUGCAAGUCGCACGAGAACUCUUCUGCUUGCAGAAGAUAGUAAAGUGGCGCACGGGUGAGUAACGCGUGGGUAAUCUACCUCUGAAUUGGGGAUAACAUUGUGAAAGCGAUGCUAAUACCGAAUAAUAUCCCGAGAACCUAGGCUUUUGGGAUCAAAGGUGGCCUCUACAUGUAAGCUAUUGUUUAGAGAUGAGCCCGCGUACCAUUAGCUUGUUGGUAGGGUAAUGGCUUACCAAGGCAACGAUGGUUAGCUGGUCUGAGAGGAUGAUCAGCCACACUGGAACUGACACACGGUCCAGACUCCUACGGGAGGCAGCAGUGAGGAAUUUUGCGCAAUGGGGGAAACCCUGACGCAGCAACGCCGCGUGAGUGAUGAAGGCUUUCGAGUCGUAAAGCUCUGUCAAGUGAGAAGAACCUAUCCCGCGUUAAUAUCGCGGGAUACUGACGGUAUCACUGAAGGAAGCACCGGCUAACUCCGUGCCAGCAGCCGCGGUAAUACGGAGGGUGCAAGCGUUAUUCGGAAUUAUUGGGCGUAAAGGGCGCGUAGGCGGUCUUUUAAGUCAGAUGUGAAAGCCCGGGGCUCAACCCCGGAAGUGCAUUUGAAACUAAGGGACUUGAGUAUGGGAGAGGGAAGUGGAAUUCCUGGUGUAGAGGUGAAAUUCGUAGAUAUCAGGAGGAACACCGGUGGCGAAGGCGACUUCCUGGACCAAUACUGACGCUGAGGCGCGAAGGCGUGGGGAGCAAACAGGAUUAGAUACCCUGGUAGUCCACGCAGUAAACGGUGAACACUAGGUGUAGCGGGUAUUGACCCCUGCUGUGCCGCAGUUAACGCAUUAAGGUCCGCCUGGAGUCCCGCCCG
rnacentral:rRNA from 1 species